rnacentral:rRNA from 1 species
GACGAACGCUGGCGGCGCGCCUAACACAUGCAAGUCGAACGAGCGAGAGAGAGCUUACUUUCUCAAGCGAGUGGCGAACGGGUGAGUAACGCGUGAGGAACCUGCCUCAAAGAGGGGGACAACAGUUGGAAACGACUGCUAAUACCGCAUAAGCCCACAGCUCCGCAUGGAGCAGAGGGAAAAGGAGCAAUCCGCUUUGAGAUGGCCUCGCGUCCGAUUAGCUAGUUGGUGAGGUAACGGCCCACCAAGGCGACGAUCGGUAGCCGGACUGAGAGGUUGAACGGCCACAUUGGGACUGAGACACGGCCCAG